CAGCUGGUUCCUUGGACUUUGCACAGGUUCUCUUAUUCGACACUUGCAAUAACUAUAUGAACAGGAAACAACGAAGGAGCUGAGCUCUGUGACCAGUUUCGAUACCAGCUGAAACCGAAGCAUGAGCAGAUAUGCAAGAGCAAAGAAUCAGAAGAUGCCAGAAGUGAGGUGAGGAAACAGUUUGGGAGUGAACUGACUGGCCAGUGUUCUGGGGCUAGCAACGGAUGAGCUGAUCGAGAUUGGAACCUCAUUCUUCUGACUCCAAGCUCAAGGUGUGUGGGCUUGAGCUCCGAGCCCACAGGAAGCGCCAGCUCCCACUAAGCCUCCAGUUAGGCCAUGAGACUGUAGGGGACAACCACAAACUCCAAGGACACUGCUGCCACCUGCUGUUCACACAUUUUCCAGCCAAGGCUUCUCCCCAACAUCAAGAUCUUCACCACUGUCUUCCCCAGACCCCUUCUGUGG